GGCGGCAUGGCCAAGUGGUAAGGCGGGGGACUGCAAAUCCUUUCCGGGUGUCGCCUGAUCAACAAA
rnacentral:tRNA from 1 species